GAUGAACAACGCAGCGAAAUGCGAUAAGUAAUGCGAAUUGCAGAAUUUCCGUGAGUCAUCGAAUCUUUGAACGCACAUUGCGCCCACUGGUAUUCCGGUGGGCAUGCCUGUUCGAGCGUCAUUAUCCUCCCUCAAACCUCGGGUUUGGUGUUGGACCCAAGUUGUGUGAACAACUGGUCUCAAAGACAAUGACGGCGUCCGUGGGACCCUCGGUGCAACGAGCUUUUAAACGAGCACGCGUCGAGUUUCAAGGACCUUCCGGGCCGGUCUCCUUCUUUUAUUUACAAAGGUUGACCUCGGAUCAGGUAGGAAUACCCGCUGAACUUAAGCAUAUCAAUAAGCGGAGGA
rnacentral:misc_RNA from 1 species